UAGCCAGCAGCCAAACCUCAGU
rnacentral:miRNA from 12 species